rnacentral:rRNA from 1 species
CCUACGGGUGGCAGCAGUGGGGAAUAUUGGGCAAUGGAGGCAACUCUGACCCAGCAAUGCCGCGUGUGUGAUGAAGGUAAUUUUAUUGUAAAGCUCUUUUCUUUGGAACGAAUAAAUGACGGUACCAAAGGAAUAAGCCCCGGCUAAAUACGUGCCAGAAGCCGCGGUAAUACGCAGGGGGCAAGCGUGGUUAGGAAUGACGGGGUGGAAAGGGUGGGUAGGUGGUUUGAUAAGUUAAAUGGGUAAUACCCAGGGCUUAACUGGGGUGAUGCAUCUAAAACUGUUGGACGUGAGUACUGGAGAGGAAAGUGGAAUUCCUAGUGUAGAGGUGAAAUGCGUAGAGAUUAGGAGGAACAGCAGUGGCGAAGGCGACUAUCUGGACUGCAACUGACACUGAGGCACGAAAGCGUGGGGAGCAAACAGGAUUAGAUACCCGGGUAGUC